CUCCGGCGUCAUCAGCCGAUUCCAACCGGGAUUCAGCGAGCGCCUCUUAUGCAAACUUUCAGCUGUUUGCUGAAAACGACUCACUUGCUGCCAAGCUCAUAAGAAGCUGCUUGACAGGAGGUGAUGGCCCAGCAAGAGAAAUGUGUGUGGAGACCAGAGGAACCAACGCAUCACAAAACACUUCCACCUCUCUUAAAACUAUUGCCUGCCUCCAGCCUCAGGAAUUCUAAAACUGUGUCCUGGCAUCAGAAUCCUGAACUUUCCAGAAUCCAGAAUCUGUGAACUUUUAAAGCUAAACAUAAAUAGUGCUACAAGGCUGGAAACGAAGUGGGAGAAUAUGUGUGAUUCAUGCUCCCUCUCGCCAUGUCCCCAUGUCUUAUUCAAAGCCUGGAGGUGCACUUCCAGGGGAAUAAGUCUGCACACUUUACACAAGAUGCAAAAGCACUCAAACCUCUGCUCACUUGAUAUCUGCAGUUGUCCUAUGUCAGAUGGUGGUGGCAUUUCCAAAUACAACUAAAGGAGCAAAACUACUCAAGAGCUCAAAGGCUUCUGUUGUGGAGAAUGGAAAGCACUUUCAUUGUGAAGAAGCACCGUUGGGGAAGUUGUUCUUCAGUAACUUUACUUCUGCUCAACCUAAAUUCUAAAUUCCAUGUUUAAUAUCUGCUUUAGGAAUCCCCCCUCACUGCACCAAUAAAAGCCAAUAGGUAUAUUACAUUCAGAACAUCAUUUCAUCAUCAGCAUACACUCAAAUGAUUGCUCUGAAGUGGUACAGCCAAUUAUGGAUUAUUGCUUCUUUACUGUCUGAUUCUUACUCAUUACAUCAUGGGAACAUGAGCCAGAGGAAUCCUGCCAGACGUUGCAUCAGACAAGAUUCUUAACCUCAGACUGAAAGUCCACACAAAACAAAACAUAUUUUAGUAUUGUACUUAAGCUUCCUACAUCCUUUCUCGGAAGAGGAAACAGCCCAUUGAUGCAAACAAAUAAUACAGAGUAAGAUGAUGUUUCAGGACAAGGAAGAUGGACACAAAUAUCUAUUUAAUUGGAUUAGCUCCAAUUUGGCCAGGACUGGGAACCUGUGGCCCUGCAGAUGUUGGAUUCCAAUUCCCAUCAGAUCCUGAGAGCAUGCCCAAUUGGCAGGGACAAUAGGAGAUGCAGUCCAGCAACAUCUGGAGAGCUGCAGGUUCUUCAUUCCUGAAUCAGGUCAUUUAGGGUUGCCAUAUUUCGUCAAUCAAAAAUAUUUUGAUAUUAUUAUUUUUUAAAAAGCAUUAUUAGUGGAUACCCUACAGGACCUGAACCAUGUGUACUUUCCCCUUUUGCAACUUUUUUUUCUUUAACUUAGCUUACAGGGUUGCUGGGUGAAACAAAUGAGAGUCAUGGACCUGUGCAACACCUCUAUUUUUCCCAUGUUAAUCAGACAGCACAUUUUUUAAAAAAUCAAUACAUGGUGAAUUAAUAACCAUUUUGAAAACUCAUGGAAGGAAAGCACCUAUUCAGGACACACACAGGAAGACAUGCUUCUUAAAGGAUGGUGUCUGCCUCCUGUAACUUAUGGAGCAUCCUCUAAAAACAAGGAUUUUGAUGUUGUUGUUUCACAUAUCAGCCACUCCAUCGUGUGACACAGUUGCUGGGAAACAGAGACAAACAUUUGGGCUGUGCUUGACUUCCUCUACUGCUUGUGUGCUUGAACUGAUGGGGGUUUUAUGAUGGCAGCAUGAUUAGAAAUAGAGAAUGAAUUACUUCAUUGCACUUAGUCAUGGGUUUCCAUCCCAGAAUAAAGGAUGCCGUGAUCACCUCUUACGAUCUCUUCCUACCAUCACUUCUUGCCUCUCUUUUGAUAUGGCAUAGUCCUCACAUAGGGGACUGUACUACUUGAAUGGCACAAGGGGAGCUGUUUGCACGAAACACUGGCAAACUUACGUUAGUGAGCUUGCUAGUUUUUAAAUGGCUCUCUAACAUUUUGUUAAACAGAAGUGGCAACUGUACUGCACAAAUAGUAAUCUGGGAGAAGAGGAAUAACAGUACCGGCCUACAGAGUCAUGGAGUCAUUUGGUAUAUUCUAUUUCAGAGUUGUUCGGAGUGCAGCAGAUUUACGUGGCACGGCUUCAUCAAAGGCUAUGCCAUGCAGCUAUUACAGCAGCGCUAGUGGCGAUGCUCAGAACAGGUGGUCACGUUGCUUGGGCACCUGCGAUGACAGAAGGCCUUUCAGUUUGAGGACACUGCUGCUGCUUUUCUUUUUUGAAAGGAGGAGAAAGGGCUGAAGAAAGUCUGAAUGAGGCAUAGUUGCUAUUGUUGACAAAGCUAAACAACAAAUACCUUCUAAGGAACCAUCAGCUUCUCUUGCUUGCUCUCUUCCUGGUCCUGGGGUCCACACCCUCCCCAACCUCAUCAGGAAUCCAGGUGUGCUAACAUAGCAAACGGGAAGGGAGCGUUGACAACAGGACCAAGCAGGGAACAGGCUGGAGAAGCAGCUGCUGGCUAAUAUUUUGCUGCACAGGAAGAGUUAAAGGUCACUUGUUUUUUAUUCUGUCAUCUUUCUUGUUGGUAACAGUGUGGUCCUACCUAUUUGCUUCAAGAUUUCAGAGGUUCACGCACUGCCUCAAAAACCUGCCCCACCUAUUUGACCAGAGGCAAGAAAUAUGUUUGUACAGUGGUACUUCAGGUUAAGUAUUGAAUUCGUUCCAGAGGUCCGUA